rnacentral:tRNA from 1 species
GAGAAGUGGCCGAGUGGUUGAAGGCGCUCGCCUGGAAAGCGGGUAUACGUUCAUAGCGUAUCGAGGGUUCGAAUCCCUCCUCCUCC